GUACAGGAAGCAGCUUGCUGCUUCGCUGACGAGUGGCGGACGGGUGAGUAAUGUCUGGGAAACUGCCUGAUGGAGGGGGAUAACUACUGGAAACGGUAGCUAAUACCGCAUAACGUCGCAAGACCAAAGAGGGGGACCUUCGGGCCUCUUGCCAUCGGAUGUGCCCAGAUGGGAUUAGCUAGUAGGUGGGGUAACGGCUCACCUAGGCGACGAUCCCUAGCUGGUCUGAGAGGAUGACCAGCCACACUGGAACUGAGACACGGUCCAGACUCCUACGGGAGGCAGCAGUGGGGAAUAUUGCACAAUGGGCGCAAGCCUGAUGCAGCCAUGCCGCGUGUAUGAAGAAGGCCUUCGGGUUGUAAAGUACUUUCAGCGGGGAGGAAGGGAGUAAAGUUAAUACCUUUGCUCAUUGACGUUACCCGCAGAAGAAGCACCGGCUAACUCCGUGCCAGCAGCCGCGGUAAUACGGAGGGUGCAAGCGUUAAUCGGAAUUACUGGGCGUAAAGCGCACGCAGGCGGUUUGUUAAGUCAGAUGUGAAAUCCCCGGGCUCAACCUGGGAAACUGCAUCUGAUACUGGCAAGCUUGAGUCUCGUAGAGGGGGGUAGAAUUCCAUGUGUA
rnacentral:rRNA from 1 species